rnacentral:lncRNA from 1 species
AGCGGGAGCAGCAGCUCGGUGUUUGGCAGCACAACACCAUCACCCUUCACGUUUGGGGGUUCGGCAGCCCCCGCUGGCAGUGGGAGCUUUGGGAUCAACGUGGCCACCCCAGGCUCCAGCGCCACCACCGGAGCUUUCAGCUUUGGAGCAGGACAGAGUGGGAGCACAGCCACCUCCACCCCCUUCGCAGGGGGCUUAGGUCAGAACGCCCUGGGCACCACCGGCCAGAGCACACCGUUUGCCUUCAACGUGGGCAGCACAACUGAGAGCAAACCUGUGUUUGGAGGCACCGCCACCCCCACCUUUGGUCUGAACACCCCUGCGCCUGGAGUGGGCAC